GUGCCAGCAGUCGCGGUAAAACGUAAAGGACAAGUAAUACACAUAAUAGGUAUAAAGAGUUAGCAAUACUGAUCUAAAUGAUCUAGAAUCUAUAAAUAAGUUAUUAUGAGGUAUAUGAGUAGCGGUUAAAUGUGUAAAUACAUAUACAACAACCAAUAAAGAAGUAAUAUAACUAAUACAUAGAUUGACGUUGAGUAACGAAACUUAGAGUAUCGAAUAGGACUAGUCAACCUAUUAGUUUUAAGUGUAAACGAUGUAUACUAAUAUUUAUAUACUGUCUUAGGACAAAUAAUAAUAAUAAUAUUAUUAUAAUAUGGAUAUAAAGCUAAUGCGUAAGUAUAUCACCAGGGGAGUACUUUAUAAUCGAAGAAACCCAAAACAAUAGACGGUUUGAGUGUUAACAGUGGAUUAUGUUAUUUAAU
rnacentral:rRNA from 1 species